rnacentral:rRNA from 1 species
UACAGAGACUGCAAGCGUUAUUCGGAUUCACUGGGCGUAAAGGGUGCGCAGGCGGCCGUGUGUGUGAGGCGUGAAAGCCCGGGGCUUAACCCCGGAAUUGCACCCGAUACUGCGUGGCUCGAGUACCGGAGAGGUUGGUGGAAUUCUCGGUGUAGAGGUGAAAUUCGUAGAUAUCGAGAGGAACACCUGUGGCGAAGGCGGCCAACUGGACGAGUACUGACGCUGAGGUGCGAAAGCGUGGGGAGCAAACAGG